UCUGGUGAUGAUUAUAUAUAGGGCAACACCUGUUCCCAUUCCGAACACAGCAGUUAAGCCUAUAUAUGCCGACGAUACUUAGGGAUUUCUCCCUUGGCAAAAUAGGUUUCGCCAGAU
rnacentral:rRNA from 1 species